rnacentral:rRNA from 1 species
CAGCCGCCGCGGUAAUACGGAGGGUGCAAGCGUUAAUCGGAAUUACUGGGCGUAAAGCGCACGCAGGCGGUCUGACAAGUCAGAUGUGAAAUCCCCGGGCUUAACCUGGGAACUGCAUUUGAAACUGUCAGGCUGGAGUCUUGUAGAGGGGGGUAGAAUUCCAGGUGUAGCGGUGAAAUGCGUAGAGAUCUGGAGGAAUACCGGUGGCGAAGGCGGCCCCCUGGACAAAGACUGACGCUCAGGUGCGAAAGCGUGGGGAGCAAACAGGAUUAGAUACCCCGGUAGUCCCUGUCUCUUAUAC